CCCUUAGAUGUUCUGGGCCGCACGCGCGCUACACUGAUGCAUUCAACGAGUCUAAAACCUGCUCUGAUAGGGGUGGGUAAUCUUUUGAAUGUGCAUCGUGAUUGGGAUAGAUGAUUGCAAUUUUUCAUCUUCAACGAGGAAUGCCUAGUAAACGCAAGUCAUCAGCUUGCAUUGAUUACGUCCCUGCCCUUUGUACACACCGCCCGUCGCUCCUACCGAUUGAAUGAUCCGAUGAAUAUCAUAGACUGAGAGUAUAAGCAGGUUCGCCUGUCUUUGCUUCUCGGGAAGUGAAGUAAAUCUUAUCAUUUAGAGGAAGGAGAAGUCGUAACA
rnacentral:rRNA from 1 species